AGCCGAGUCACCGUCCCUUUCCCACCAGUACACCAUCAGCCGACAGUCUCGCUGAGCCGGCGACAGUGGGGCGCGCCAAUGGGAUCCGCUCAGAUACACUCCACAAGAUCCAUCGAGAUCUCCACUUAGAGAUCAUUUGGUUCGAACUGCCGUCAUUUUAAAAUGAAGUCGUGAUGUAAGAAGAGACUAGCUACUCAAAAAAAAUAAAAAGACCAUAAAAUGGGAUACGUAAUAUUGAAGGAGAUAACAUCGGAAUUUUAACAAGGAGAUCAAUAUCCCGACUUAAAGCUAAUAAAAUGAGCCACGUCUAUCUGUAUACCAACAUCCGAAAGUACCUACAUCCAGUGCGAGAACAUUUCAAUUCCUAAGCAUGCGACCCAGUUUGGUUCGACCAAAACACAGUAGCGGUAGCGGUGGUCAACUUAGCGGGCGGGCCGAUCUAGCGAUCUCGGCUACCGUGGGCGUUGUACAACACGCCGAGCUACCACCGUGGCACCAUCAACCACAAAGGACCACAAGCGACCACAAUGAACCAUUGUUUGGACGUGGCAAAUUUGAUACUAGUAUUAGGCGUAUAUUGAAUAUGAUCUUUGGAUGAUGAACGAGACAGAAACUAGCCAUUGAUAAAAACUCUCACGCACUCUUUAUACUGAGUACUACACGUUACACCCAACGUGAACGUUUCACAGUCAUAAACUCGUACUAGGUGUCUUGAAAUUAAACAACUUCCUAUAAAAACUAUUUAUAUUGUGAACGAUAAUUAAAUGCAGCGGUACAAUGACUUAAAGUUUAGAUCAAACUAAGAAUAUAACACUGGCGGGAACGGUGUGACAGGCAUUACUUAUCUCCAAAUCAGGUAUUUAUACAAGUUUUCAGGUCGUCGGAGCGUUAUGGUUGAUCUAUUUCCGUUGCUUCGUUUAAAUAGAGCCGGCCAUAAUUCACGGGCUGCUAAUUUAUCAGGCAUGCAUAAAUUGUGCGCGAGAGUUGCAAUCGGACAACAUUUAGCUUUUUAUCGACUGUUUGAUUUAGUGUUGUACACUAAGCUAAUCCCUCAAGUCGAUAUGGCGCGUGCGCAGAGGGCUUAUUACGUUCCCAAAGUAUUUUGGUACGGAAAUAUUUGUAUCUAUUCUGUUGGAAUAAAUCUAUUAUUUUUAUAUACAUUAGUGAGGUCAAUGAAAAUUUUAUUAUAUAUUAAAUAAAAAUUCCUAUAUAAACAUUCGAUGUGUGCUGAAAUAUAUAUAUAUAAAUUAUAUCUUCGUCUAAACGAAUGUUCUUUGUGAAGCAGUGUCCACGUCUAGAGCAUAUUUUUUUUAUUUUAUAUAAUAAGGUCGUAUAUAUUAUUAUUGUCACCAGAAUAACGCCGUGCACACGGACGUAGGUGUUGCAGAAUACGUUAAAGUUAUUGCUCGCAUUGGGGACUCGUGUUUCUGGGUGUCUGUUUGUCCUUUAGGAUCGGCUAUUAAUCUUGCUAUGCGACUGUUUUUAAAAUAUUGACUCUGUUUUCUCGCCCGCUAGUGUGUAGCGAUCCUGGAUUUAUUGUUUUUGUAUAUAAAAAUAAAAUUAUUUAUGCUAUCAUGUGACGAUAGUAAUGAAAUAAUUCUCAUGGGUUCUUCUCAAUUCGUGUUGUGUUUUGUAAAUGAAGAGUAUUUCACAAAUUUAUAUUAUAUAUAUAUAUAUAAAAUGUCUUUUGAAGCAAUAAUA